rnacentral:rRNA from 1 species
CCCUUAGAUGUUCUGGGCCGCACGCGCGCUACAAUGAUGAAUUCAACGAGUUUAUAACCUUGGUUGAAAAACCUGGGUAAUCUUUUGAACUUUCGUCGUGAUGGGGCUAGACCCUUGCAAUUAUUGGUCUCCAACGAGGAAUUCCUAGUAAACGCAAGUCAUCAGCUUGCAUUGAUUACGUCCCUGCCCUUUGUACACACCGCCCGUCGCACCUACCGAUUGAAUGGUCCGGUGAAAUCUUCGGACUGUGACUUUGAUCUGUUAACUCAAAACGCUGUUAUGGGAAGUUGAUUAAACCUUACCAUUUAGAGGAAGGUGAAGUCGUANCA